rnacentral:rRNA from 1 species
AGAGUUUGAUCCUGGCUCAGAUUGAACGCUGGCGGCAUGCCUUACACAUGCAAGUCGAACGGCAGCACGGGAGCUUGCUCCUGGUGGCGAGUGGCGAACGGGUGAGUAACACAUCGGAACGUACCCUGAAGUGGGGGAUAACGUAGCGAAAGUUACGCUAAUACCGCAUAUUCUGUGAGCAGGAAAGAGGGGGAUCGCAAGACCUCUUGCUUUAGGAGCGGCCGAUGUCGGAUUAGCUAGUUGGUGAGGUAAAGGCUCACCAAGGCGACGAUCCGUAGCGGGUCUGAGAGGAUGAUCCGCCACACUGGGACUGAGACACGGCCCAGACUCCUACGGGAGGCAGCAGUGGGGAAUUUUGGACAAUGGGCGCAAGCCUGAUCCAGCCAUGCCGCGUGAGUGAAGAAGGCCUUCGGGUUGUAAAGCUC